CGGGCUUACAUCAUCCGUUACAGAAUACGAUACCGGUUAUCCUUGAAAAUCUCUUGAGAAGAAGAAAAAGAAGAAGAAGGCAUACAUUUCAGGUGCAACAACGAUCGAGAAAGGAUCGAACGUGUGCAUCGCUAUCGCUGCUGGUUCAUCCCGCGGGCUAAUCACGAUGAUCCACAAAUCAAUGCUAAUCGAUACGAGAGAAUCGAGAUAUCGGACACGAGCGACAAUGGUUCAUGGAUACCUUCGGACACAACCUGCCGUGGCGUGACCCGGAAACAGAUCUCACCGAACUAGCUCGGUGUUACAUCCACAUAAACUUAUAGUAUUGGCAAGUAAGUGUGCGUGUAUGUUUAUAGGAACGGUAUCGAUGGAGGACACGACGGUGAGCUUGACCACGGAUUACUGCGGAUAGAUCGAGAGAGAACGAUCUACAUCGAUCACGAUCACGUCACCCUCUGCCCGACCCUCAACCUGGCCCGAUCGCAACGGUAUUUACGUUGAAGAACGACGAUGACGACAAGUAAGGAGAACGCUCAAUAAAUUGGAGAAAAAUCUGAGAUAUAAGACGCGCAGCAGGUAGGAGGGCCUUCUAGAAAUUCUAACGUCUCUAUAAUCUAUUGAGUCUCCUCGUAAAAUGGAUCUCGACACGUGGUGUCCUAUCCUGGUCUCUCUGUCGCGAUGUUCGUUUCAACCGAAUGCUGAAUGUUCCAGACUUCCAGCAAGGAGAACUUUUUCCGUGGGUGUAGAGUAGACUCUAGCGAGCAUGUUAUAUGCUUAUUCUACGAAACUCUAUUGCCACCGCUAUUGUCGUUCUCCGAGAAGCGUGACCAUAAAAUCAUGGAAUGGAAAGUAAUUGUAGAAAAAAUUAGACUAGAUUUUACAUUUUUAUAUAUGUAUAUUUAAAAAACAAAAAAAUGGCCCCUGAAGAAUGAUGGCCAUUCGUUCGGUUACGUUCGAAGGACCACCAUUUGGUCGGUGCUAUCUUUUUUUCUGA